rnacentral:rRNA from 1 species
GACGAACCGUGCAAACGUUAUUCGGAAUCACUGGGCAUAAAGGGCGCGUAGGCGGCUCCACAAGUCAGGGGUGAAAUCCGGCAGCUUAACUGUCGCAGUGCCUUUGAUACUGUGGAGCUAGAGGGAGGUAGGGGUCUGUGGAACUUCCGGUGGAGCGGUGAAAUUCGUAGAUAUUGGGAGGAACACCGGUGGCGAAGGCGGCCAUCUGGGCUGCAACUGACGCUGAGGCGCGAAAGCUAGGGGAGCAAACAGG